rnacentral:tRNA from 1 species
GCCCGGGUGGUGGAACUGGCAUACACGAGGGACUUAAAAUCCCUUGCUCGUAAGGGCUUGUGGGUUCAAAUCCCACCCCGGGCA